GACGAACGCUGGCGGCGUGCUUAACACAUGCAAGUCGAACGGUGAAGCGCCUUCCUUUUUGGUGGGUGUGGAUGAGUGGCGAACGGGUGAGUAACACGUGAGUAACCUGCCCCCUUCUUCUGGAUAACCGCAUGAAAGUGUGGCUAAUACGGGAUAUUCUGGGUCUGUCGCAUGAUGGGUCUGGGAAAGAUAUUGUUUCGGUGGGGGAUGGGCUCGCGGCCUAUCAGCUUGUUGGUGGGGUGAUGGCCUACCAAGGCGGUGACGUGUAGCCGGCCUGAGAGGGUGGACGGUCACACUGGGACUGAGACACGGCCCAGACUCCUACGGGAGGCAGCAGUGGGGAAUAUUGCACAAUGGGCGCAAGCCUGAUGCAGCGACGCCGCGGGAGGGAUGGAGGCCUGCGGGUUGUGAACCUCUUUCGCCAGUGAAGCAGGCCUGCCUCGUUUGUGGGUGGGUUGACGGUAGCUGGAGAAGAAGCGCCGGCUAACUACGUG
rnacentral:rRNA from 1 species